AACCUUUUUAAUUAAAGUCCAGAGAGGCUUUCAAAAGGGAAGAGCAGCUGCCGCUAAAUGUGAUGCAGUGUAUCUUUUGAACACCUUUUGAGGGCUUUUCUCAAAAGGUGUUUUUUU
rfam:Jeotgalibacillus campisalis strain SF-57 contig00014, whole genome shotgun sequence.